rnacentral:rRNA from 1 species
GACGAACGCUGGCGGCGUGCUUAACACAUGCAAGUCGAACGGAAAGGCCCUGCUUGCAGGGUACUCGAGUGGCGAACGGGUGAGUAACACGUGGGUGAUCUGCCCUGCACUUCGGGAUAAGCCUGGGGAACUGGGUCUAAUACCGCAUAGGAGCCAUUCUGCGGGUGAUGGUGGGAAAGUUUUUUCGGGGUAGGAUGAGCUGGCGGCCUACCAGUUUGUUUGUGGGGUAAUGGCCUACCAAGGCGGCGACGGGUAGCCGGCCUGGGAGGGUGGACGGGCACAAUGGGGCUGGGAUUCGGCCCAGACUUCCACGGGGGGCAGGAGUUGGGAAUAUUGCACAAUUGGGGGAAGCCUGGUGGAAGGAAGCCGGGGUGGGGAUGAACGGCCUUGGGUUGUAAACCCCUUUCGCCAGGGACGAAGCUGUUUGUGACGGUAACUAGAUAAGAAGCACCGGCUAACUACGUG